rnacentral:rRNA from 1 species
UACGAAGGGGGCUAGCGUUGCUCGGAAUCACUGGGCGUAAAGCGCACGUAGGCGGAUCUUUAAGUCAGGGUGAAAUCCCAAGGCUCAACCUUGGAACUGCCUUUGAUACUGGGGAUCUCGAGUCCGGAAGAGGUUGGUGGAACGUGCGAGUGUAGAGGUGAAAUUCGUAGAUAUUCGCAAGAACACCAGUGGCGAAGGCGGCCAACUGGUCCGGAACUGACGCUGAGGUGCGAAAGCGUGGGGAGCAACAGGAUUAA